GCCGCUGUAGUGUAACCCAGUUGGUAGAGGCGUCGCCAUUACAGAUGGCAAAGUCGCUGGUUCAAAUCCAGCCUGCGGUG